GUUUUACAAAUUGUUUAACUUAUAAAAUAAUAUUAUGGGGUAAGUAUUGUUCAAAAAUUGGUUUAUUAAAAAUAAAUAUCUAUAUCGAAGUGAAUUGCUGAUAUUAAACUCUUUGCAUAAGAUAUUACAAUCAACCUAUUACUCGAAAAUCAUCAACUUAAACCUGACAAACUCGCUGAAUUGAGAGAAGAAAAUAUAUAAAUGAAUAUAUGUUUAUAUCCAAUUGAACAUUGCCUGAUUCAAGACAAGACAAGACAAGAUUUUUCUAUCUUGAUGGAGUCAUCCUAACUAAAUAAAUACUGUUAUUGUAAUACUUUCAAA